UACACAGGGGCGUGGAGUUGGAUGAAAAAAAAUCGACUCCGACUUCAAGCUCUGGUGGGAUGCAUCGGAGCAGCGUUACCAUUUUAUCGUACUCAAAACAUCGCAUUUAUCAGUUCCAGGCCCCAAAACUCUCCUACCCACACAGAUAACGAGAUUCCAGUUAAAGUUAUUGAUAGAAGCGUUACUUAUUGGUGUUUGUUUGCGAUAGCUGUGAGUCAGAAACCGGAAAAUAUAAUGUGCUGAGCGGCUGAGUAUGAUAAUUUGGUAACGCUGCAUCGGAGAGGUGUGUCCAGCGGCGGGCGUGACAACUCUUCGUGAUUUCCGACACAGUGCCAAGUACCGCGAGUGUGUUGAGGCUUGAGGGCUCGGAGACGUCAUUGGAGUGUCCUCCGGAGCUGCCCUACAACCCCACCCGUGUCCACAAGACUGACAUGAGCCGUGCGACUUGCCCAACAAGCAACAACCUGGAUGCAACUGUCUUCUCCCGUUGCUCCCUAUAGCCUUUGGGGCGGCGUCAUGCUGGAGGGGCAGAGCAUCGAGGAGGUCCUGGGGGUGCUGGGCUGCGGCAGGAGAACGGUGCCUCUCUUCCUGAUGCUGGCCAUGGCCAACAUGGUGCAGGUUCAGCUCAUCACAGCGUCCCUUCUGAGCAUCAUACUGCCCUUUCGCUGCCACUCCUCCGCUUCGCCCUAUCUAAAUGACCUCGAGCCCCACAGCCAAUCCGGAGACUCCACCGUGGCCGUCCUGGUCCCCAUCGCAGGCACCGACGCAGGGUCCCGCCAAGACUUCUUCAACAGCGAGUGUCUUGGCCCCGACUCCCCCGCCUCGGGUCAGCCUCACGCCGAUAACUCUUCGUCUGCUUCCUCGCCCUCUCCGUCCCAGGUUCCCCCGUGGCUCCACUCCACCGGGAUGGCCUCGUGUCCCUAUAUCGAGUACGACCACUCCCAGUAUAUCGCAACCGUCGUAUCCCAGUUCCAUCUGGUGUGCGAGAGAGCGUCGCUGCGGCCGCUGUUUCACAUCAUGGCGACAGUGGGCACCAUGCUGGGAAGCGCCUUUGCCGCACCGCUCUCCGACUGCCUGGGUCGCCUGAAGGGCCUGCGCCUGGGGGCCGUGCUGGGCAUCCCCGUGCACGUGGCGCUGGCCUUCGUGCCCUGGUACCCGGCGAUGCUGCUGCUGCGGGCGGCGGCCACGGUCUGCUGCCGCACCAUAUUAUUCUCCGCCAUUAGUUUGGCGUGGUGGAAGAGUCGCCGCGGUGGCUGGCCCAGAGCGGACAGGGCCACAAGGCAGCCCAGCAGUUACUUCGUGCCGCUGAUAAUGACAAGGUGGCUCUCCCCCCUCACCUGGUGGCCACCCUCGACAAGGUCCAGGUGUUCCCAGAGAAGGAUGCGCCCGGCGAGGUGGUCAACCAGGGCUCCACCACCAACUUCCUUCGGCAGUUCCGGGACUUCCCGUCCUCCUUCUGCGUCUUAUUGACCACCGCCGCCCUCUGGUUCUUCCUGGCGCUCAUGUACUUCAGCGUCAUGCUGAACUCGAGUUACUUCAGCAGCACCAGCGCCGAGAUGUACGUGGGCCUCUCUGGGGGCCUGGAGGCUGUGGCGGUACUGGUGGUGAUGCCCGUGACGCAGCGACUGGGGCGCCGUCUGGUAAUGGGCGUCGGUCCUAUCCUAUGUGGCAGUCUGCUCGUGGCCAACCUG